AGAUCUCUCAAGUGUUUAAAUUAAGGAUCGCAAGUUCUUGAAACUUGACAAGCCAGGCAGGAUUGUCACUGCUGCUGUCUGAAGCAGAGGAUGGAGUUAAAUAGGUAACCGGUCUCAAAGAGGGAAAGGGAAAAAACCAGGAAUAGCUUCUGCUGAAUAUUUUAGCUGAUGUUAUCUCAUUCAUGUGGCAGACCAGUAACAGGAAAAUAAAUGACUCUCAUCCUUUUGCUUUGUUCUCAAUGAAGAAGGAGAGCAUUUGAACAGGGAAAUGAAUUCGGCCAACAACCAAUGGGCUUGGAGGAUGCCUCCAGCUUCAAGUGAGACCUACAGCCUGGCCAACACCCUGAGAUCAGCCUGAUAAAGUCCUGAGCAGAAAAUCCAGCCAUACCUGGAGUUUUGAUGAAAAAACAGUGAGAUAAUAAAUUUGUGCUGUUUUAUGCCAC
rnacentral:lncRNA from 1 species